rnacentral:tRNA from 3 species
CGGGGCGUGGCUCAGCUUGGUAGAGCGCUUGAAUGGGGUUCAAGAGGUCACAGGUUCAAGUCCUGUCGCCCCGA